UUCUUUCAGCAACCCUUAUGAAAACAGGGAUAAUAUCUGAGCAAUAGAGGCAGAGUGGCAGACUGAAGAGCCAGGAUGGCUCAGAUUCAAGUUAAACCUCUGAUAUAUACUGACUGAGUGAUUCUGGGUUAUUUAAUGUCUCAGUUCUCUAAUCUAGUGGUAUCAAAUUCAGAUCUCUAGGAAGAAACUGAGGUCCAGAGGGAACUGAUGCCAUGCAGAGUCAAGCUGCCCAUAGCACCUGGACAUACUGCAUAAUCUACUGACUACACCCAUGGACAACCAUUCUGGAUCACAUUCAAUAUGGCAGUGCCAAACUACUUCCUUCUGGCCUACAACUUCCCUGGAUUAUAUGUGUUGGGAAGAAGAUGACAGCAAGAUAUUCAAGCAGUUCCCGAAGAGUGAUGAGUAGGAAAGAGGCGAAUAGGACACAUGGAAGCACAAUUCAAAAGAUGUUGGUUAGUUGUGGAAUGCUGGGAUGCUGCAGCAGAUGGACCAGCUGGUGCGCUUCAAUUAAAGAUGGAGGGUCUGACUGCGACCAAUGGUGCUGGGCAAAUUAGGAAGUGGAGAGGCAGAGUGGGACACAGCGACAGGGCCUGCAAACAGUGGCUACAGACAUAAAUCAGAGGAGAAUCUUCACAUGUACACAGAGUGGAAAUGACUGUUGCUCACAUAUAUCUUUUUAUAAGCACACCCACACCUUGGGACUGCAAUGUUGUUGGUGGGACCAUCUCUUAAAAGGAAAGCUAAUAAUAUGUAUAAUUAGGUCAACCUCAACUACUCAGAUGAUUUUUUUCUCUAAAUAAAAGCAUUUAU